GGAGGACCAUUUGAUAAUGACAUAACGAUACAGAGCCUUGAAUUUCUGAGAGUGCAAAAGUAUAUACGAAGAUUACACCACAAAAAAACAAGGGGAAUUAGUGUGCUACAACUAUCCAGUAUAAUCCCACAAAGUGGGAUCUGAAGAGGAUAAUAUAUAGACGGGCCUUACCCCUACCUGAAAGGGCAGAGAGACUGUUUUCAAUCGAACCUCGGCUCAGUGAAGGAAAGGAAAAACAAAAAUAAAAACAAAAAAGUAUUAGUAACUCCAGCAGAAAUAAAUAAUUAUCUGAACAUAAGAACCAUAAAUAAAAUAGCAUGCAAUAAUAUUAGACAGUAACUACCAUAAGGGAGACACAAUCCAAUACACAAAUCAUAUAUGGAUAGCCCUGCCAAGCCUCACCCAACCCCGGGUGAGGAGUACGUAAAACUCUAGGAGUCCCAAUCCUAAUCAUAUAUGGAUAGCCCUGCCAAGCCUCACCCAACCCCGGGUGAGGAGUACGAAAAACUCUAGAAGUCCCAAUCCUACAACCCUGAUACUAGACCUCCAGACUUUCCUAUCAAGGGCGAUGUCCUCAGAAACCCGCAUUCUAGCCAUGUCAUGCCUAAUCACAUCUCCCCAAUACCUCUUAGGCCUCACUCUGCCUCGCCGUACGCUGACCAUCGCCAGACGAUCACAACUCCUCACCGGGGCAUCAGGACUUCUCCUCCUCACAUGCCCGAACCACCUUAUCCUCGCUUCUCGCAUCUUCUCAUCCACCGGGGCCACCUCCACAUUCUCUCGAAUAA
rnacentral:lncRNA from 1 species